AACGAACGCUGGCGGCAUGCCUAACACAUGCAAGUCGGACGAGACCUUCGGGUUUAGUUGCGCACGGGUGCGUAAAGCGUGGGAACCUGCCCUUAGGUUCGGAAUAACCCCCCGAAAGGGGUGCUAAUACCGGAUAAUGUCUUCGGACCAAAGAGAUAUCGCCUCUGAGGGGGGCCUCGUGUCUUAUGCUCGUGGUGGGGGGAAAAGCUCCUCACGAGGCGAUUCUCCAUAGCUGCUCUGAGAGGAAGAUCAGCCACACGGGGACUGAGACGCGGCACAGACUCCUACGGGGGGGAGCAGUGGGGAAUAUUGGACAAUGCGCGAGAGCCUGAGCCAGCAGUGCCGCGUAAGUGAUGAAGGCAUUAGGGUUGUAAAGCUCUUUUAGCCGAGAUGGUAAUGACGGUACCGGGAGAAUAAGCUCCGGCUAACUCCGUG
rnacentral:rRNA from 1 species